CCGAUUACCUUACCGAUCGAUUAACUCGCUGCGACCGGAUGGGUGGAAAAUCGCACGAAAUGCCCCAAAGAAAACGUGGAUAUCCCAAGCGGCUCACGAUCUCCAACCACUCCAUUUUUCAAUAACCGAUGCCCAACAAGCCGCCCUAAAUCGGAAUCAAUGGCGUGCUGUAAUCCGUGACGUCCUGCCCCUGGUCUUCACAAUGCAACAGUCACUGCCUUAUGGACGUUGACAUUUACGAAGAUUAAGUCCAAGUGCCUUGGAGAGUAGCUUGACUCCUCUUCUUUGUAGCAGCCCCUGAGGAUAUUGAAGACUGCUAUCAUGUCUCCCUAGUCUGCGAUGACCCGGAACUGAGCACGGAAACAACACAGCCAGAAUGAAGACUUAACUCUCCUUUAUAGUUCCAACUGCCCCCCCCCCCCAAGCCCCACCGUUCACUGCAAAUCCGAGAGCAAAUUUCUAAUAGUUCCUGGCUGCUAUUAGUUCAGAGGAGCAGCUCAGUUCUGAGAGCAGCCCCAGUUCAGUGUCGUAUUUCCCAAGGAGUCCUCGUCACCAAAAGAAUUCACUGGUACCGCAGCAUCACCACCCAUAGUAACUGUAUCACUGCGACCUCACAGAUGGCCAGGCAGCAUGGCAGACAAGGCAGGCAAGCCCAGCAAAGUAUCCAGACGUUGGUACAGCCUGUGAGGAUGGAAAAAGCAGCGUUUGUUCCUGGCAAACAGCGUCACUUUAAACCUCGUUCCCCAGCAUUUCAACAUGAGGCCGGAGCAAGUUCUUAGUACUUCUCU